CUGCAAAACCCACCUACCUCUUUGCCAUCAACCUUAGUGCAACCACAGUGCAGAGCAACACUAGGCUUACAGUAAAAUCUGAGCUUUAUUUGUACUUUAAAUUCUGUAGGGGAUGCAAUAUAUUCCAACUCAAUAUGAUGGUGGAAUACUUCAUGUCUUUUUCAGUCUUGGGUACACGGUUUAUGGCUAGCUGGCUGCUUCUAGGGUGCAAAUUGCCAUCUCCCUGAUGGGAGCUGGGAUUAGAUGAGAGCAGACCUGCCAAGAGCUGUGUAGUUCAUCAACAAAGAAGUGCUUUAUCAAAACAUCUUUCUUACACUGUUUACAUUAGAAAGAAGAUGUCAGGUUGUCCUACAGAAUCCUGCAUCAUAGGAUGCCACUGACCGUGGCAGUGCAUCAUUGUUGGUAUGCUGCUGAGCCCACAUCCUCCAAGCCUAGAGGCAAACUCCUCUGGCAGAUUCCCAAAGGGGGAGGCAGUGAUGCCCAUGAUCCCUGAUUCCUGUGCUACUGAAUCAAACACAGCAUUUGUGCACUGUAUAAAAACCUCUGCAUCUAUCUGUAUACAACA